CUGUGGGUCUUGUGGUGUCCCAGUUUUUCACAGGUUUUCACAGUUUCAGCUAUGGGUAGCAAGCCAUCCAUGCCCACCCUGGGAGGGAUGCCUUUUAGAGGCCCUGAAACCACAAGCCUUUAUGCCCUACUUCUUCAGCUCCUACACUCACUCUGCUGGUGUCCCACUGGCUAUACUCUCAUGGGAGCUUUCUAACUACUGUCAGCACACAGGCAAAUGGAAGGAGUUUCCUCAAACUGCCUAUGCCACCACUUCUGCUGCCAAUAAGAGUGGUUGGAUCGAUGAGGUGGCUGUUUUCAAUUCCAGCCUUUCACUUUCUACCAUGGCUUGUGGCAUGGCGGCUCAGCAACAGGGCAGAUAAUGCUUCUAGGUCUAUCUUAUUAUUAAGCUUAAAAUCCCCACAGCUCAAAAAUGUGGCUUUUCCAUGCAACAUGUGACUGCUGCCAUUUUGACUGAGGUCAGGUGACCUUACCACCAUCUUAUCUGAGGUCAGGUGACUUUGCUACCAUCUUGGCUGAGAUCCAGGUCAGGGGACCAAGUUCUGCCAUCUUUACUGAGGUAUAUCCUGCCUGGUUCCCCAGUGUUAGGUCUGUUACAUGGGUGACCUUACCACCAUCUUAACUGAGGUCAGGUGACUGCACCACCAUCUUAACUGAGAGCCAGGUCAGGUGACCAAGUCCUGCCAUCUUUACUGAGGUAUACUCUGCCUGGUCCCACAUUUACUUAUGUUUUUGCCUCUAAAUUCCUCUUGUUGACUCUGUUGCAUGUGUGUUUUGUGCAGUGGCAUGUCUUUGGUAGGGCCUACCAAGAGCAUCUACUUUACCCAAUUCCUGUUUACUCUGUGUAUAUGUGUGUGUUCAUACAUGUGACUUAAAUGAGCCUAUGUUUACUAUUAAAUGUUAUAGUUGUCUGUUCCUUGCAUCUCAUUUCAGACUACAAAAACAAUAAUCUCAUGUUUUAAACUGGUAUGCACUUUUAAGUCUCUUACAAAAAUACUUUAUAUUUAAUCCAACCCUCAUAUACAAUCUAUUAAGAUGUCCUCUACUAUUGCCAGUUCUGCCAUUAACCUUCUAUUGCAAGCAAUUUUUCUUCUUUCUGUCUUUUUAUGAGUAUAAACAUUACGUGUUAAGUUAAAAGCCAGUAUAGGCAAGCUCAGACACAGCUCUCCAGGCAGAUUCUAUACUGUAGUUAUACAUGAUAAACAUCCCUCAACUGCUCAGAGAUCUGGGAAAUAUGGCAUUUAAAUAUUUAAUUAUUAAAAAAACUUUUCAUAACAAAAAGAAACAGGUUGGCUCCUAGCAGCACUCUACCUCCUCCAAAGAAGACAGAAGACAAAUGGGCACACAGCAACAUCAAUCCACAAUUUGCUCAACUGCCAAGCACUGACCACUGGGAAAAACUGCUUUUCAUCUAAACUGAAGAUCUCCAAACAUGGAUAGAAUUGCUGGAAUCGAUAGCUUAACUGCUCAGGUCAAGAUAGGCUUGUCUUCCUAAAGAUUUUUAGCCCACAGGAUAUUCUGGAGCCUGGCAGGCCCUGUGCUAAACAGGAAAAGGCAAAUAUGGCCUUCAGCAACCAUGGAGGACCCUGAAGAAUUGCUCUAGGUGACAACCAAAAACCCAAAGAAUUCUUGUGAGUUCCAGGGAGUGGAAUUGAAGGAUCCACCUUAAACAG